UACGUAGGUGGCAAGCGUUAUCCGGAAUUAUUGGGCGUAAAGAGCGCGCAGGUGGUUGAUUAAGUCUGAUGUGAAAGCCCACGGCUUAACCGUGGAGGGUCAUUGGAAACUGGUCGACUUGAGUGCAGAAGAGGGAAGUGGAAUUCCAUGUGUAGCGGUGAAAUGCGUAGAGAUAUGGAGGAACACCAGUGGCGAAGGCGGCUUCCUGGUCUGUAACUGACACUGAGGCAUGAAAGCGUGGGUAGCAAACAGGAUUAGA
rnacentral:rRNA from 1 species